UACAGAGGUGGCAAGCGUUGUUCGGAAUUACUGGGCGUAAAGGGCGCGUAGGCGGUCUUGUCAGUCCCUUGUGAAAUCCCCCCGGCUCAACUGGGGAACUGCACGGGAAACAGCAGGGCUUGAGUUCGGGAGAGGGAAGCGGAAUUCCGGGUGUAGCGGUGAAAUGCGCAGAUAUCAGGAAGAACACCCGUGGCGAAGGCGGCUCUCUGGGACGGUACUGACGCUGAGACGCGAAAGCGUGGGGAGCGAACAGG
rnacentral:rRNA from 1 species